rnacentral:misc_RNA from 1 species
AAAUUGCAAUUCAUCAUUCAGGGCCAGGGGUUGUUAACUAGGAGUCAUUAGGGAAGGGAAUCAUCCUUCUGAGUUCUGAGGCCUUGGUAAUUCGGUGGUCCUCUCCUCCAGCUUUAGUUUAGAAAAAAGCAAACCAUGUGGGCACUACUACUACUAUGGCCCAACGUAAUGGAUAUUUUCAAUUUUAUAUAGAUGCUCAUUAUUAAUUUGUUUAUGCAUAAUAGAAGUCAAAAUAAAACUGCGGAACAUAAGCAAAAUCAUUUUUUUGGGAUUACUUUUUGGAGUAUUUUUCUUUGAUAGAUCUAUCAUCUAUGAGUCUUGAUAUUUAUAUUUAAUAGAAGAACUUAAGCAAAUGAUAUUGUUAACACAAUUAAAACCGUUAUUUUCACUCUUUAAUCGAGUACUUUUUCUUCUAAUGAAUCUGAUUUGUUAAUAUUUAGAUUGAAUUGGAGGACUCUUUG